UGUGGGCGGAGCUGAAACUUCGGCGGUUGAACCGCUCGUGAAGAUCGAGUCCGUGGAGGUGAAGAGCGAGUACGCGGGUGUGGGCGCGGGCUCCAGGCGCGGGCUGCAGGCGCGGGCAGUGGGGAGUCCCCAGAGCACCGAUUCUUUCACGCAGGUGGACGCCAGAACCUAUGCAAGCUGGAGAUUUCACGGGGUCUUUAAUGCAUCAUGUUGUCGCUCGCGAGAUACGCGGCUAGAACUUAGAGAACCCUUACCGAAUACUGCACUAGAGCUUGUAAGGACCCUGGCCAUGGACCAGCCCGCUGGCCUGCAGGUGGACUACAUCUUCCGGGGUGUGGAGCACGCUGUGCGGGUUGUGGUUUCUGGGCAGGUGCUGGAGCUGGAGGUGGAGGACCGGAUGACAGCUGACCAGUGGCGUGGAGAGUUUGAUGCCAACUUCAUUGAAGACUUGACUCAUAAGACGGGGAACUUUAAACAGUUCAGCAUUUUCUGUAACAUGCUGGAGUCGGCCCUCACCCAGAGCAGUGAGUCUGUCACCCUGGACCUGCUCACCUACACAGACCUGGAGUCUCUGCGCAGCCGCAAGCUGGGAGGCCGCCCAGGUGCCUUGGCCCCCAGGUCGGCCCAGCUCAACUCCAAACGCUACCUCAUUCUCAUCUAUUCGGUGGAGUUUGACAGGAUUCACUACCCGCUGCCCCUCCCGUACCAGGGCAAGCCUGACCCUGUGGUCCUGCAGGGCAUCAUCCGCUCACUGAAGGAGGAGUUGGGUCAUCUUCGAGGGCUGAAUGGCGGCCAGGAUGCUCGGGAGACGGAGAUCUGGCACCUGAGGGAGCAGGUGACCCGCUUGACGUCUGAGAAGCGGGAGCUGGAGGCACAGCUGGGCCGCUCCCGAGAGGAGGCUCUGGCGGGGCGGGCAGCACGCCAGGAGGCCGAGUCGUUGCGUGGGCUGGUGAGGGGCCUAGAGCUGGAGUUACGGCAGGAGCGUGGCCUCGGGGGUCGGGCUGCUGGCCGCCGCAGCCAGGAUAGUCGCCGACUGGCUAAGGAGCUCGAGGAGGUGAAGGCAUCGGAGCGCAAUCUGCGUGCAAGGCUCAAGACACUGAACAGCGAGCUGGCCAUGUACAGAAGGGGGAGACGCACCUUGCCGCCGGUUGCAGUCAGGGAGGGCCGAGCCUCAUCGUCUCGGGAGCGCUCCACGUCCCGUGGUCGCGCGGUCACUCGCUCCUCAUCACGGGAGAGCAGCCGUGGGGCCCGGGGUCGUGGCCGGCCAGCACACCCCUCGCCCUCACCCACAGGUAGUCGUGCGCCCCGUUUUGACCCCACAGCCUUUGUGAAAGCCAAGGAGAAGAAGCAGAGAGAAAUCAGGAUGAAGCAGCAGCAGCAGCAGCGGAACCGAAUGGGCAGUGGAGGAAGCGGAGACGGUCCGUCCGUCUCAUGGUCUCAGCAGACUCGGCCCGCUGCUGCUGUGACGGGCCGAGGGGACGCAGUUAACCGCUCCCGGAACCGCAGCUCCUCAGUGGACAGUUUCCGCAGCCGCUGCUCGUCAGUCAGCUCCUGCAGCGAGCUGGAGGAUUUCUCCCACUCAGUUUCCAGAAGGGAAAUUAGGUGAUGGAGGUUGGAGGUCUUAAAACCACGAAGUGGGUCAGGAGGGAGGUACCAGAGAUACUCUGUGGUCCUUGGUUGCGUCUUUUUCUAGUCGCCGCUGCCGUGGCCGAGGGAAACCACCCAGUCCGACACCCUGGAGCAGGUCCAAGACGAAGUCUACCACUCAAGAACGCAGUGAUCACCAGAGACACUUGGCCAGUUCUGGGGGCUGGGUCCCUAUUAAAGAGUACAGCUCCGACUUCCAGGGAGCUGACAUGGCUGAAAUAGAUGCCCGCCUGAAGGCUUUGCAGGAAUACAUGAACCGGCUGGACACGCGGUCAUGAUCCUGGAGAGGUGGUAUUCUGAUUUCUCAUUGUACCAUCAGUGGGUCUGGUGUGGAGGCAGCGCCCCUCCCGUGCUCAUCGCCAGGUGCUCCUGGAGUCUCAGUGUGUGAGGCCCUGACUCCCACCUCUCCCAGUAAUUCAUUCUAGGAGAAGAGAGUGUGUAUUUUGUAAAUAAAUAUGGUUGUUCUUGGGA